UGUAACGGAGUUAGAAAUGUAUUCUGUCAUUUCUUGUUUUCAAUGUGUUGUAUUUUAUUUUUGUUUGUUGUUCAACAAAUAUUGUUGAGUGUUUGUGAAUUUUAUUUUAAUGAGCCAUUUUUAUUUAGUGUUAUUUUUAAAAAUUCUGUUUCCUGCGGAAAUUGCUUUCUAUCUCUGUUGUACUUCCUGCUCCCGAGUCCGUCUCACCGUCACAAUGGCUUUGUAUUGCUGAAGGAAGCGGAAGUACAGAGACAGACCAGAAGGAAAUUGUGUGUGUUCUGCUCUCUCCUGCAGGUAUGGUUUUCCUUUUGUUCAUUUUCGCUGUUUCUGUUAAAAUUACUCGAGCUCAUGUAGUUAUUUAUUUUGUCGAAUAGGGGUCGCUGUUUUGUAUGUUACAUGUUUUGUAUGUUACAUGUCAUGGUUUUUGAUGAAUAUUGUGAUCAUUUAGAUUCAAUGUGGUCCGUCUUCCCCGUCACAAUGGCUUUGUAUUGCUGAAGGAAGCGGAAGUACAGAGACAGACCAGAAGGAAAUUGUGUGUGUUCUGCUCUCUCCUGCAGAAUAAAUAAGUAUUGGGAAAAUACA